rnacentral:rRNA from 1 species
UGUGCUUCACACAUGCAAGUCGAACGAGGUAGCAAUACCUAGUGGCGGACGGGUGAGUAACGCGUGGGAAUCUGCCUUUAGAUGGGGGAUAACGGGUCGAAAGACUCGCUAAUACCGCAUAUGACGAAAGUUGAAAGGAGUAAUCCGUCUAAAGAUGAGCCCGCGUCCGAUUAGCUAGUUGGUAGAGUAAAAGCCUACCAAGGUCGACGAUCGGUAGCUGGUCUGAGAGGAUGAUCAGCCACAAUGGGACUGAGACACGGCCCAUACUCCUACGGGAGGCAGCAGUGGGAAUUUUACGCAAUUGGGCGAAAGCCUGACGUAGCGACACCGCGUGAGCGAAGAAGCCCCCUUGGGGUGUAAAGCUCUGUCAGCUAGGAACGAAAAAAUGACGGUACCAGCAGAGGAAGCAUCGGCUAACUACGUG